rnacentral:rRNA from 1 species
UACAGAGGUCUCAAGCGUUGUUCGGAUUCAUUGGGCGUAAAGGGUGCGUAGGCGGCGCGGUAAGUCGGGUGUGAAAUCUCGGAGCUUAACUUCGAAACUGCAUUCGAUACUGCCGUGCUUGAGGACUGGAGAGGAGACUGGAAUUUACGGUGUAGCGGUGAAAUGCGUAGAUAUCGUAAGGAAGACCAGUGGCGGAAGGCGGGUCUCUGGACGAGU